rnacentral:rRNA from 1 species
AGAGUUUGAUCAUGGCUCAGGACGAACGCUGGCGGCGUGCUUAACACAUGCAAGUCGAACGGUAAGGCCCUUCGGGGUACACGAGUGGCGAACGGGUGAGUAACACGUGGGUAAUCUGCCCUGCACUUCGGGAUAAGCCUGGGAAACUGGGUCUAAUACCGGAUAUUCAGCUUCUGCCGCAUGGUGGUUGUUGGAAAGUUUUUCGGUGCAGGAUGUGCCCGCGGCCUAUCAGCUUGUUGGUGGGGUAAUGGCCUACCAAGGCGACGACGGGUAGCCGGCCUGAGAGGGUGAUCGGCCACAUUGGGACUGAGACACGGCCCAGACUCCUACGGGAGGCAGCAGUGGGGAAUAUUGCACAAUGGGCGCAAGCCUGAUGCAGCGACGCCGCGUGAGGGAUGACGGUCUUCGGAUUGUAAACCUCUUUCGGCAGGGACGAAGCGCAAGUGACGGUAC